GAGCAACUGAACUGAACUGAUACUAAAAUUGGAAUGAUACAGAGAUUAGCAUGGCCCCUGCGCAUGGAUGACACACAAAUUUGUGAAGCAUUCCGUAGUUUU
rnacentral:snRNA from 1 species